AGCCGGGUCGUCUAGCGGCCCAGGAUGCGGGGCCUUGGACCCUAGCGGAGGAGCCCCCGUGACCGGGGUUCGAAUCCCCGCCCGGCUACCA
rnacentral:tRNA from 1 species